CCUACGGGAGGCAGCAGUGGAGAAUAUUGCACCAUGGGGGAAACCCUGAUGCAGCGACGCCGCGUGAGUGAAGAAGUAUUUCGGUAUGUAAAGCUCUAUCAGCAGGGAAGAAGAAAGACGGUACCUGACUAAGAAGCCCCGGCUAACUACGUGCCAGCAGCCUCGGUAAUACGUAGGGGGCAAGCGUUAUCCGGAUUUACUGGGGGGAAAGGGAGCGUAGGCGGCUGUGCAAGUCUAAAGUGAAAGUCCAGGGCUCAACCCUGGGACUGCUUUGGAAACUGUGGAGCUAGAGUGCUGGAGAGGUAAGUGGAAUUCCUAGGGGAGGGGUGAAAUGCGUAGAUAUUAGGAGGAACACCAGUGGCGAAGGCGGCUUACUGGACAGUAACUGACGUUGAGGCUCGAAAGCGUGGGGAGCAAACAGGAUUAGAUACCCCUGUAGUC
rnacentral:rRNA from 1 species